GGCUUUGAUGAAACCGGUGUUUCUUCUUUCCCAGUCCGAUUCGACCAUGACGAUACGGGGAUCUAUCAUGUCUCGAUUGCACUUGUGUGAUCAUUUAAGAGACUUUUCUUGCCAUGUUAUAUUCAACAUUCAAUAUCUGAGCC
rnacentral:snoRNA from 1 species